rnacentral:rRNA from 1 species
AGAGUUUGAUCAUGGCUCAGGACGAACGCUGGCGGCGUGCCUAAUACAUGCAAGUCGAACGCUUCUUUUCCCACCGGAGCUUGCUCCACCGGGAAAAGAGGAGUGGCGAACGGGUGAGUAACACGUGGGUAACCUGCCCAUCAGAAGGGGAUAACACUUGGAAACAGGUGCUAAUACCGUAUAACAAUCGAAACCGCAUGGUUUCGUUUUGAAAGGCGCUUUACGGUGCCGCUGAUGGAUGGACCCGCGGUGCAUUAGCUAGUUGGUGAGGUAACGGCUCACCAAGGCCACGAUGCAUAGCCGACCUGAGAGGGUGAUCGGCCACAUUGGGACUGAGACACGGCCCAAACUCCUACGGGAGGCAGCAGUAGGGAAUCUUCGGCAAUGGACGAAAGUCUGACCGAGCAACGCCGCGUGAGUGAAGAAGGUUUUCGGAUCGUAAAACUCUGUUGUUAGAGAAGAACAAGGGUGAGAGUAACUGUUCACCCCUUGACGGUAUCUAACCAGAAAGCCACGGCUAACUACGUGCCAGCAGCCGCGGUAAUACGUAGGUGGCAAGCGUUGUCCGGAUUUAUUGGGCGUAAAGCGAGCGCAGGCGGUUUCUUAAGUCUGAUGUGAAAGCCCCCGGCUCAACCGGGGAGGGUCAUUGGAAACUGGGAGACUUGAGUGCAGAAGAGGAGAGUGGAAUUCCAUGUGUAGCGGUGAAAUGCGUAGAUAUAUGGAGGAACACCAGUGGCGAAGGCGGCUCUCUGGUCUGUAACUGACGCUGAGGCUCGAAAGCGUGGGGAGCAAACAGGAUUAGAUACCCCGGUAGU